AUCUAUGUGACCACACCAAUGAACUGGACCAAUGCUCAGAGGUACUGCAGGGAGCGCUACACAGACCUGGCCAGUAUGAGGAAUGAAUCUGAGAGGAACGAACUGAAGACAGUGGUGAAAACUACUCUAUGGAUCGGCCUGUACAGAGUGGCGUGGAAGUGGUCUGAUGGUCAGAUCAUGGACAUCACUUCAUUCCAAAAAUGGAGCACGAACCAGCCCACGAAAAUCAAACAUCACUGUGUGACCACGACUCACAGUGGAUGGAGUGCACGGCCUUGUAGCGACAAAUAUGCUUUUGUCUGCAGGGUGAGGAAACAGGUGAGACUGAAGGUGAUGCUGAAAACAUCAGACUCCUCUGUGGACCUGGAAGACAUGCAGGAUGCUAUCUUGGAGCAGUUCAACCAGAGACUGAAGGACCAUGGCAGGAGUGAACAUGUCAAGCUGAAGUGGAUGAAGCAGCCUGAUGGAAAGAUCUUUCAAUUAAAAGAAAGUGAGGAGAAGAAAAAAGAAAAAUGAGACAAAUGAAAAAAAGCAGCUUUCACAAACAAUAUCAUUUUCAUGCCUCCAACAGAACUGAGGAUGUUAUUAGUGAUUUAGAAAGAAUGUUGGUCUAAAUGUGAGAAGAAUCUUUACCCUGGUGGCUCCUGAUGAGGAGCAGAAGAUCUCUAAAAUAUCCAAGUGUCUUCAAUUCAGAUUUCUUUGCAGUUUUGUUUUUUUUUUUCAAAAUGAGUAUAAGUGAACUCUCUUUCACUUCAAAAAAUGUUUGCAGUUUUAAGUGAAAGCACAUUUAACAUUACUUACAGUUUUUCUCAGUGGCUGUGGUACAUUUCUCGAAUCAUCCUCGACACUUGCAAAGCAGUAAAUGUAUUUCUCAAAACAGUUUGUACAAACAGCAAAACACCACAGCAAAAGUCAGUCUUUUGAUCAAAAUCCUUAGUUCAUCUGCAUCUAUGAACAUGUCAGUGGCAUCAGAAUGAGCAGUCCUUGUGUCAUUGUGUGGAUGAGACAGUCAGAUUGCUGAGUCAUGUUGUCAUUGUAACACUGUUCUCUGGAGGGAUGUUCUGAUCUAAACUAUGGAGGAAGUUUUGAUGACGAUUAUUGUAAAUUAUAAAUUACACCUUAGUGUAUGAGGGAGACUGACUGCAAGAGACUGGACAAGACUCACAUUUACGCUUUUACUGUUUGUACUCCAAUUUGUUGACAGACCACGUUAUUGUGAUACAGAAAGGAAAACAGCGCUGCAUAGCACAAAGAAAAGAACAAAAGUAGAAAUGUGAAAAUUGGACAGUCUCCUCAGGGAAACCUGUACAUGCAGUGCUGUAGGAAUUACAGUGCAGUCUUCCUACACCUCCUGAAGUUCCUGUCUGUUGGGCCACAAAUUCUCAUCCACAUCAUGAAUAUCUUCUCAUGCAUCUUUGAGUGAUUUCAGAAAACUCUAACCCUUCACACAUUUCCCUUCAUAGAGAAAUUCAAGAUCAACCAGGGAGCAAUUCACCAAUUCAGGACAGAUUCAUAAAGAAGUCUAAUGGAAAUGAAUAGAAACAUCCUCGACAUAUUAUGACAAACUUGUUCAACCAUUUUGAAUGUAAAGACUUAUGUGAUAAACUAAUGCCUAAAUGUUGUGGAGGAUGAGACGAUUAAACAGAGACCCAUUAUGAUACAUUUGAUUGUGACAAAACCAGUUGGUAAUGUAGGAAACAGAGAAUUGUACAGAAUCAU